GCUGGGUUGGCAGAGUGGUAAUGCACCAGACUUGAAUAAAGGGUNNCGAAAAGGGUGAAACUGGAACCCUGCCAGACAUCUGAGGUUCGCCGAAAGACGACGGAGGUUCGACUCCUCCCCCCAGCGCCA
rnacentral:tRNA from 2 species